UCACAGGCUAGAUUCUCUGGUA
rnacentral:miRNA from 1 species